rnacentral:rRNA from 1 species
UACGUAGGGGGGCAAGCGUUGUCCGGAAUCAUUGGGCGUAAAGAGCGUGUAGGCGGCUUGGUAAGUCCGCUGUGAAAGUCCAGGGCUCAACCCUGGAAUGCCGGUGGAAACUGUCAAGCUUGAGUCCGGAAGAGGCGAGUGGAAUUCCUGGUGUAGCGGUGAAAUGCGCAGAUAUCAGGAGGAACACCGGUGGCGAAGGCGGGUCUCUGGGUAGUAACUGACGCUGAGGAACGAAAGCGUGGGUAGCGAACAGG